UUCCAGGUUUAUGGAGUUCAACUCCUGCCUAUGGCAAUCUUUCUCUUCUGAGUGAACUCUGCAGGAAGCCUCUUCAGCCUCCUGGUGGCGCCGGCAUUUGUGGAAGUUCUCCACCACCACGCCCACGAACAUGUUGAGCACGAAGAAGGCCACAAUAAGCAGGAAGGAGAUGAAGUACAGCAACAUCCAUGGGUUGUAGUUCAUUACGGGCUUGAAAAAAAAGAGAUUUAUAAAUACGCAUCAUCAUCUGCGCUGAUCUGAACCUGAUGAGCACAAAGCGGAGCCGAGCAGUGUGCAUGUGGACCAGGUAACAGGAGAUUUAGGUCCACUAGAUCAUCUGGACCCCAUAAGAUGGCAAAAGGGGUUAAAGGACCUUAAAAAACCCAAAGCUAUUUAUUGACAUUUCUGGAAGCUAAAACAUUCUUAUCACUGUACUUGAUUUAGAAUGUGACUCUGACCCAUUGUGUGCUUGUAAUGUUCUUCAAUUAAGAGUCACUUUGGAUAGGUGUCUUUAAAUGC